AAGCUCGUAGUUGAAUUUCGGGGUUAGUAGGUUGGUCAUGCCUCUGGUAUGUACUGGUCUCACUGACUCCUCCUUCCUUAUGAACCGUAAUGCCAUUAAUUUGGUGUUGCGGGGAAUUUGGACUGUUACUUUGAAAAAAUUAGAGUGUUUAAAGCAAGCUAACGCUUGAAUACAUUAGCAUGGAAUAAUGAAAUAGGACGUUCGAUCUUAUUUUGUUUGGCUUCUAGGAUUGACGUAAUGAUUAAUAGGGAUAGUUGGG
rnacentral:rRNA from 1 species